GAGCCAUCAUGUUAACAGAAGCACUGAGUUCAGGGGACCCUCUGGCUGGGUGCUGGGUGACUGAGAAAGGGAAGGGGCUCAGGUAACUUGGGGCAGUGACCUGGGGACCCCUGGGGCUGGCUGACCGCACUCCAGGGCGUGCCCGCACCUCUGGGCGGGGUGUUUUGGAGUGUGACAGGGCUCCCAGAUGGGGGUUUCUGAGAGUCAGCCUGACAAACACUGGGAGCUGAGCCCUGAGGCCGUUGCUGGGAGACGCAGGGAAACAGGAAGUGGCGGGAGGAGCCCCACAGGCCAGGGAGGAAGGAGGGCUAGAGCUGCACUGACAGCACACAGCAUUGGGAGUGCACUCGGUGACAAGAGAUCGUGUCUGUCACGAUGCUGGCACAGCGGUCUGUCCUCUCCCCAGCUGUCUGCAACCGCGGUGAUGUGACAUACAGACAGCAGGGUUUCUACUGGUGACAAAGUCACAGACACCUGUGACACCACCCCAGCGUCUGGCCUGCAUUCACACUGGAGAAAUCAUACAACUGACCAUCGACGCCAGCUUUCUUUUAUGCUUCGAGAAACUAACAACAGCAACAAUAAUGCAACUUCGUUGUAUAGAUCUCUUUGUAUAUGUAUCUUUGUAUAUGUCUCUCAUGUAACUGAUACCGUCAACCACUCCUGCAAACAGCAAAUAACAAUCUUGGCAUUUUAUUGAUCGUAUUAUACCUAUUCCUGAAUGCCACAGAAAAUAAAGAAAGAGAAUGAAC